rnacentral:pre_miRNA from 1 species
GAGGAGGAGGCAGUUAAGACUUGCAGUGAUGUUUAGGAACGCUAAAGACAUGAACAUCACUUUAAGUCUGUGCUGGCUCUG